rnacentral:rRNA from 1 species
UGUGACAUACCUUAAUGUUGCCUCGGCGGA